AUUGAACGCUGGCGGCAGGCCUAACACAUGCAAGUCGAGCGGAUGAAGGGAGCUUGCUCCUGGCUUCAGCGGCGGACGGGUGAGUAAUGCCUAGGAAUCUGCCUGGUAGUGGGGGAUAACGUCCGGAAACGGGCGCUAAUACCGCAUCCGUCCUGAGGGAGAAAGUGGGGGAUCUUUGGUCCUCACGCUAUCAGCUGAGCCUAGGUCGUAUUAGCUAGUUGGUGGGGUAAAGGCCUACCAAGGCGACGAUCCGUAACUGGUCUGAGAGGAUGAUCAGUCACACUGGAACUGAGACACGGUCCAGACUCCUACGGGAGGCAGCAGUGGGGAAUAUUGGACAAUGGGCGAAAGCCUGAUCCAGCCAUGCCGCGUGUGUGAAGAAGGUCUUCGGAUUGUAAAGCACUUUAAGUUGGGAGGAAGGACAGUAAGUUAAUAUCUUGCUGUUUUGACGUUACCAACAGAAAAAGCACCGGCUAACUUCGUG
rnacentral:rRNA from 1 species